rnacentral:rRNA from 1 species
AUUGAACGCUGGCGGCAGGCCUAACACAUGCAAGUCGAGCGGAUGAAGGGAGCUUGCUCCUGGAUUCAGCGGCGGACGGGCGAGUAAUGCCUAGGAAUCUGCCUGUUAGUGGGGGAUAACGCCCGGAAACGGGCGCUAAUACCGCAUACGUCCUGAGGGAGAAAGUGGGGGAUCUUCGGACCUCACGCUAUCAGAUGAGCCUAGGUCGGAUUAGCUAGUUGGUGGGGUAAAGGCCUACCAAGGCGACGAUCCGUAACUGGUCUGAGAGGAUGAUCAGUCACACUGGAACUGAGACACGGUCCAGACUCCUACGGGAGGCAGCAGUGGGGAAUAUCGGACAAUGGGCGAAAGCCUGAUCCAGCCAUGCCGCGUGUGUGAAGAAGGUCUUCGGAUUGUAAAGCACUUUAAGUUGGGAGGAAGGGCAGUAAGUUAAUACCUUGCUGUUUUGACGUUACCAACAGAAUAAGCACCGGCUAACUUCGUG